CCCUUAGAUGUUCUGGGCCGCACAAGCGCUACACUGAAGGAGGCAGCGUGUACUCCUGGAUCGAAAGAUUUGGGUAACCCGCGAAUCUCCUUCGUGCUAGGGAUUGAGGUUUGCAAUUAUCCUUCAUGAACGAGGAAUUCCCAGUAAGUGCAAGUCAUAAGCUUGCGCUGACUACGUCCCUGCCCUUUGUACACACCGCCCGUCGCUACUACCGAUUGAAUGAUUUAGUGAGGACUUCGGACUGGGACCGAUGCGGCUUUCGGGCUGCGUCGGUAUUCUGGAAAGAUGUCCAAACUGUAUCAUUUAGAGGAAGUAAAAGUCGUAACA
rnacentral:rRNA from 1 species